rnacentral:rRNA from 1 species
GGGGAAUAUUGGACAAUGGGCGCAAGCCUGAUCCAGCAAUGCCGCGUGAGUGAUGAAGGCCCUCGGGUCGUAAAGCUCUUUUACCAGGGAUGAUAAUGACAGUACCUGGAGAAUAAGCUCCGGCUAACUCCGUGCCAGCAGCCGCGGUAAUACGGAGGGAGCUAGCGUUGUUCGGAAUUACUGGGCGUAAAGCGCACGUAGGCGGCUACUCAAGUCAGAGGUGAAAGCCCGGGGCUCAACCCCGGAACUGCCUUUGAAACUAGGUGGCUAGAAUCUUGGAGAGGCGAGUGGAAUUCCGAGUGUAGAGGUGAAAUUCGUAGAUAUUCGGAAGAACACCAGUGGCGAAGGCGACUCGCUGGACAAGUAUUGACGCUGAGGUGCGAAAGCGUGGGGAGCAAACA